rnacentral:RNase_P_RNA from 1 species
GAAGCGCGCCAGACCGCCGCUGGCACAAGGCCCGAAAGGGCGUGCUGGAGGAACGUCCGGACUGCACAGGACAGCGUAGGAGGUAACACCUCUCCACCGACAAGCCCGCCGCGUUCGCGCGACGGGCCCUAAGGUGAGGAUCAGAGCAACAGAGACGAGCCGAUUCAGUUCGGGUGAAACGGGCAAUCUCUACGCGCAGCAACACCAAAUAGGCCAGUGUCGAUGUGGUUCCGCGGAGCUGGCGGGUAGGUGGCACCGAGCCGUGUGGGUGACCCACGGCCCAGAAGAAUGGCGGUCACAUGCCGGGCAACCGGCAUGCACAGAAUCCGGCUUAUCGGCGCGCUUCACAC